CCCCAGACUCCUACGGGAGGCAGCAGUGAGGAAUAUUGGUCAAUGGGCGCGAGCCUGAACCAGCCAAGUCGCGUGAGGGAUGACGGUCCUACGGAUUGUAAACCUCUUUUGCCGGGGAGCAAGCGUGCGUUCGUGAACGCGCGUCGAGAGUACCCGGAGAAAAAGCAUCGGCUAACUCCGUGCCAGCAGCCGCGGUAAUACGUAGGGGGCAAGCGUUAUCCGGAUUUACUGGGUGUAAAGGGAGCGUAGACGGAAAGGCAAGUCAGAAGUGAAAACCCAAGGCUCAACCAUGGGACUGCUUUUGAAACUGUCAAACUAGAGUACGGGAGAGGUAAGAGGAAUUCCUAGUGUAGCGGUGAAAUGCGUAGAUAUCAGGAGGAACACCGGCGGCGAAGGCGGCCUGCUGGACCGUGACUGACGUUGAGGCUCGAGAGCGUGGGGAGCAAACAGGAUUAGAUACCCCCGUAGC
rnacentral:rRNA from 1 species